rnacentral:rRNA from 1 species
AUGCAAUUCAGAUUUGUAAGAAGUUCAGAAUGUAAGAAUCGGUGCAGAGAUAAACUAGUUUCUUGUGUUGUUAAUAUCGUUAUGGGAAAAGGGCCUGUGAGACUUCAGAAAUUUUAUCCUUGUUCUUACAAGGAAAAGCUGGUAAGUUCUUUUUUCUUUCUCCAACCAGUAUCUGGUAGUUUGUCUAGAAAUGAAGUUCUUGUUCCGGGGCUUUAUAUUAUUAUUAUGAAUAUCAGAUGUGCUGCAACUCAAACAGUCUUGAAGACUAAUUUCAUCAAAGAACUGAUGUCAAGGAUAAACCUCUUUCAGUUUCAUUUGCCUUCUCAAAAUAUUCACUAUCUGUAG